GUGGGGAAUUUUGCGCAAUGGGGGAAACCCUGACGCAGCGACGCCGCGUGAAGGACGAAGGCCUUCGGGUUGUAAACUUCUUUUAUAAGGGAAGAUAGUGACGGUACCUUAUGAAUAAGCCACGGCUAACUCUGUGCCAGCAGCCGCGGUAAGACAGAGGUGGCAAGCGUUGUUCGGAAUUACUGGGCUUAAAGGGCGCGUAGGCGGUAUGUUAAGUCAGAAGUGGAAUCCCAAGGCUUAACCUUGGAAUUGCUUUUGAAACUGGUGUACUUGAGUCAGCGAGGGGAGGGCGGAAUUCCUGGUGUAGCAGUGAAAUGCGUAGAUAUCAGGAGGAAGGCCGGUGGCGAAGGCGGCCCUCUGGCGCUUGACUGACGCUGAGGCGCGAAAGCGUGGGGAGCAAACAGGAUUAGAUACCCUGGUAGUCC
rnacentral:rRNA from 1 species